CGCGUAGGCGGUUUGCUAAGUACGAAUGUGAAAACUCUGGGCUUAACCCAGAGCCUGCAUUCAAUACUGGCAGGCUAGAGUUCUGGAGGGGAUAGCGGAAUUCCUGGUGUAGCGGUGAAAUGCGUAGAUAUCAGAAGGAACACCGGUGGCGAAGGCGGCUAUCUGGACAGAGUCUGACGCUGAGGCGCGAAAGCUAGGGGAGCAAACA
rnacentral:rRNA from 1 species